rnacentral:rRNA from 1 species
UGGUGGAGUGAUUUGUCUGCUCAAUUGCGAUAACGAACGAGACCUUAACCUGCUAAAUAGCCAGGCUAGCUUUGGCUGGUCGCCGGCUUCUUAGAGGGACUAUCGGCUCAAGCCGAUGGAAGUUUGAGGCAAUAACA